GCCAACUUCCUCUAUAGAAUAUGUGCUGCAUUUUUUAUAUAUAUAUACAAAUCUGAUCUCAUUAACUUCGUUUCUUAGGGAACUAUGGAAAUAAAAUCCUUGGUUUGCAGGAUCUGAACUAUUUUAACUCCUGUAGAAGUUCACUGUAUGUCAAAUAAAAGAAAGCGUAAAAUAAAAAGCAAAUCUUUUCUACAAACAACUUUAUGAACAAUACCAACAUCUGAUUUAUA
rnacentral:lncRNA from 1 species